rnacentral:rRNA from 1 species
GACGAACGCUGGCGGCGUGCUUAACACAUGCAAGUCGAGCGGUAAGGCCCUUUCGGGGGUACACGAGCGGCGAACGGGUGAGUAACACGUGGGUGACCUGCCCUCAGCUCUGGGAUAAGCCUGGGAAACCGGGUCUAAUACUGGAUAUGACUCCAUGACGCAUGUUGUGGGGUGGAAAGCCUUGUGCGGCUGAGAUGGGCCCGNGGCCUAAUCAGCUUGUUGGUGGGGNAUGGCCUACCAAGGCGACGACGGGUAGCCGG